rnacentral:rRNA from 1 species
UACGUAGGGGGCAAGCGUUGUCCGGAUUUAUUGGGCGUAAAGCGCUCGCAGGUGGUUCGUCGCGUCGUGCGUGAAAGACCCCGGCUCAACUGGGGAGGGUCGUGCGAUACGGGCGAACUGGAGGCCAGUAGGGGGAUGCGGAAUUCCGGGUGUAGUGGUGGAAUGCGUAGAGAUCCGGAGGAACACCGGUGGCGAAGGCGGCAUUCUGGACUGCAACUGACACUGAGGAACGAAAGCCAGGGGAGCAAACGGG